CUCUGAGAUGAAAGUGAAGUAUUAGGGCGUAAGCUGAUGACAUCAGACCCGUAUUGAAACACGGACCAAGGAGACUUUGAGUAUAGCGAGGCGAAGGAUGUGAAGUCCCCACCCGCGAGAAAUCUACAAGUUAUACUGAUAGGACCCGAAAGGCAGUGAACUAUACCUGCUCUGCUUGACGCCACGGCAAACCGUGGUUGAGGAGCUAAGUCGUAUUGAUGUUCAACUCAUUGACAGGAAGUGGGUAUAGGGGCGAAAGACCAAUCGAACUGCCUGGUAGCUGGUUCCGGCCGAAAUGUCUCUCAGGACAGCGGUGUCUGCGAAUAGGAAGAUGCGGUAGAGAGGAUGUCGACCUUGUCAACAAACUCCGAAUGCGUCAUUGUGUUGCGAUUGCAUCCAACAUGAUCAUCUAUAAGACACUAGUGGGCGCCUUGUGGUAAGCAUGCGGCGCAAAAAGGGAUGAACCUAGCAGUGGGGUAAGGUGCCUAAAGGAAAACAAAGAGAAAAAGCGUUUGGCAGAUUAGGACAGUGGGGCGGUGGCCAUGGAGGUCGGCAUCCGCUAAGAAACGUGUUACAACGUACCCACCGAAUCUGCGAAUGCUGAAAAUGGAUGGCGCUUAUUUCCAUACCGAGCCCCACAUGGUACAGCCACGUAGGCCGGCACGUGUGCAUCUGAGAAGACCCGCCGUGAGGUGUGUUGGAGAUGUUCACGGAGCAGAUCUUGGAAGUAGUAGCAUCAUUUGUAUGUGCCAAUGGAGGCGGGUUUGUCCUUUUAAUAGAAGGAAGUGAUACGAGCCUAGUAAAAGGGAAUAUAGUAGAUAUUCUAUAUAGAUGUACCUAUGUGGCGACACGACAGCGACCCCAACGACGUGUGCCGGUGAGAAUUUUCCGGGACACCCAGAUCUUAUGAGCGUCACGCUGAGACUAAGAACGAGUUGGGCGGUGAAAAUGAAAGAACAUCCUCGUACCGAAACGCACAGGACUCCUAGGUGAGAAGCUUAGGGCAUAAUUGUAAUGUGAGCAAGGGAAAUCGGCA
rnacentral:ncRNA from 1 species